CUUUUUUUAUACACUUCAUUUUCACCUAUUUUUAUUUCUAUCUCUCUCCUCUUAUCAUCUAUCACAUCUUAUACUUUCUCACUCUUACUUUUUCUUUUCUUCCUAUCUCUCUCUUCCUCCACCUUAUUCCACCUCAUUUUGAGGUGUGAAUAAAUAAUUAUUGCUUGCAUUUGGUAUCAUGUUUUUGCCCACUUGCAUGAUGUUGCCACCACCAUAUGGGGGCAUCAACAGUAAAAUACAUUCAGAACAGUCUCAUAGAUCUCAAGAUAUCUUCAAUUCAUGGGAAGAAAAAAAAUAUAAACUCAAUUUAAUUUUCUUUCACCUUUCAUUUACUUUUUAAGCACUUCUUUCCUAUUCAAGGGCCUUAUUUAGACAGAGGGAGAAAUUAAAAAAACACCAAACUUUGAUUAAAGUCUUGUGCCAUCUUCUUUAUUUUGAUUAGCUACUCAAGUGUAACGAAUGAGAGUCCUUUCACCUUUCAUACUUUCUUCUUCUGUUACCUUUUCCGCCCCUUUCUUCUUCUUUGAAAAACACAUUUUAAACCCCACAGGUAACGAUGAAGGUUAACCAUCAACAAUUGAAACGAAGUCUUUCUUCCAAUGAAAUAACCUCCAUCGCCCAUGACCAGCCACACCCCAUCGAGGCCAGUAGCACCAAGCUUCACCGCCACCACAACGCCUCGCCUCUGCCUACCGUGAAAAUCGUCGAAGGCGUAAACCUCCCGGAGAUUGUCGCUCUGCAUCGUCGGAGUCUUCUUCGAGGCUUACAUAAAUCCUCUCCUUUGGAUCUCGACAGACUUUUGGAGGCAUUGACAUUUUAAUUUCUUCAAAGCUUCUGUAUUCUGAGCAGUGCCCUGCUAUCUGCAAUUCCACUAUGCGAAACUUUCCACAUGUGGGUUUAAUCUCAUCUUUUUUAAGAAGUGCAACAUCAGUGGAUUUGUCCAGCAAUAGAUUUACAGUAGCUAAUGAGUUGUUAUGUGCUAAACUGGGUCUGAAUAGUAUCUGUUGAAGCUGAGGACUAGGCUGGAGGCUUACUGAAUAACUAGCACAACAUUCACUAUGGCCAUUUCAAAAAAUGAGAAGCCUAUUUGGCCUAUGAGGUUAUGAGUUGUGACAUUGAGUGUGUUCUUAACCUGCUUCUACUUUGCGGUUGCUCCUAUCAACUUCAUGACUUGGGGGGUGCUCUUGGCUUUUCUGAUAUUGAGCAGCAAAGUAACAAUGAAGAAAACUGUGCGUACAGAAGCUCAUGCUUCGAUAAACAAAUGCUGAAGUUCAAUGGAGAUUUUAUUUGCCAACCAUAUGGUUUGUGAUGGGAAAUGUUUGGGCAUUUGACUCACAUGUUCCAUGAAGCUCCAAAGCUCCACGUCUUCCACAUCGUCCUUCUUAACAUGUGAGGAAUUAAUUUGAGGGACUUUAUGUUGAUGCAAGCUGUAUAUGGUUGGGGUUAGUAGUUAUGGAGUAAGCGGAUGAAGCAGUAAAUAAGAAUGGUGAAAGGGCAGCCUCUAAGGCUCUAUUUAUCUGCACCUAAUAUUCAGAUGCAAUUAUAAAAUGGGGUAAUGGUUUCUUGGUGGUAUGAGAGAUGUUUCAAAUGUGGAAAAACCAAAGUAGGCUCCUUUCACAAAUUUAUUUGGAAUCAAAGCUGCGCUGUUGGAAUGCUACAAGCGCAAGGUGUAUGGAUUGCUAUUGCAUCCAUUAUUUGGGGAUUGAACCCUAAGAGAUGCACUUGGUCACUACAGUCCAGUCUACAGGAUUAACACAGGAUAUACUUCUAAUCGCAACAAUACGAUUGCAAGGUGUGCAUCCUCCUCUCAUCAUGUUAUUUAGGAAAAGGUUGUAAAACGACCUUUCGAGGAAAGAGGAAGAAAUUCAAAGGACCAAGGUAGCCGAUUAAUGUGUAGUGCUUCUGCAUAGAUCAAGACACAUUUUUUCAUUUUCACUUUGGGCUGAUGUUGGAGAGAACCAAUCGAAAGUUAAGAUGGAGAAUGUCUCUUAGAUGCUUUUGAUUCCAAGAGCUGCAUUGUUUGAAUAAAUGAAAAAUAUCUUAAUCAUAUCUCAAGACUCCAGUUUUUCGUUAA